CACCAACAACUUCAGGCCUUCACUCCCAGUAACAAGCACUCCCUCCACUCCUCAUGUGCUUUCCCAGGCAGGCUCUGCUGGCCACUUCACACCCUUCCUCCUGUAUCAACCACAAGCAAGGUGUAUUACCGUUAGCAUUCUUCUUCUUAUUCUUCUUCCAUACACAGAUAAAGAAACAUCUUCAGUGGGAGGCUGAUUUUAGGGGGAAGCAGGGGUGAAAGAUUCAUAUUCUGUUUGGGCUCCACAGUCCAUGUCAGCGCCUUGUGGCGGGAGCUCGCUGGCCUGCAGGAUGUGGGG
rnacentral:lncRNA from 1 species